AUGUGGAGCAUCUUGAGGCCGGAGAUGUUCUCGAUGGCGAGGUUGAUGAGCGACGCGAUGACGCCGGUGAGGAGCCCCACCAGGAACGCCAGCGACCACUUGAGGAAGAUGUACUGCAGCACCUCCACGUUGGACCGGCUCCUCCAGUCGUGCUUGAACAGAUCGUUCUCGAUGAUCCUGCGGACAUGGCAGCUCAAUUCACUAAGCAAGCCAACCAAAUUGCACGAACAGAGUUGUAAGCUGGCACCCAAGGAUGGAUCGAGCGGUGGAAUACUCACUCGUAGUCGAGGCUCUCGAUGUGCGAGACCUUGGCGCCGACCAUGGCGAGGUGGCUGGAGGUGA
rnacentral:rRNA from 1 species